GCCUUCGUGGUGUAGUGGUCAGCACACUGAGCCGGUAUUUCAGAGGUCCGUGGUUCGAUUCCCGUCGAAGACC
rnacentral:tRNA from 1 species